UACGUAGGGAGCAAGCGUUGUCCGGAAUCAUUGGGCGUAAAGCGCGCGUAGGCGGCCCUGUAAGUCCGCUGUGAAAGUCAAAGGCUCAACCUUUGAAAGCCGGUGGAUACUGUGAGGCUAGAGUACGGAAGAGGCGAGUGGAAUUCCUGGUGUAGCGGUGGAAUGCGCAGAUAUCAGGAGGAACACCGGUGGCGAAGGCGGGUCUCUGGGCAGUAACUGACGCUGAGGAGCGAAAGCGUGGGGAGCGAACAGG
rnacentral:rRNA from 1 species